rnacentral:rRNA from 1 species
GACGAACGCUGGCGGCGUGCUUAACACAUGCAAGUCGAACGGAAAGGCCCUGCUUUUGUGGGGUGCUCGAGUGGCGAACGGGUGAGUAACACGUGAGUAACCUGCCCUUGACUUUGGGAUAACUUCAGGAAACUGGGGCUAAUACCGGAUAGGAGCUCCUGCUGCAUGGUGGGGUUUGGAACGUUUCGGCGGUUGGGGAUGGACUCGCGGCUUAUCAGCUUGUUGGUGGGGUAGUGGCUUACCAAGGCUUUGACGGGUAGCCGGCCUGAGAGGGUGACCGGCCACAUUGGGACUGAGAUACGGCCCAGACUCCUACGGGAGGCAGCAGUGGGGAAUAUUGCACAAUGGGCGGAAGCCUGAUGCAGCAACGCCGCGUGCGGGAUGACGGCCUUCGGGUUGUAAACCGCUUUCGCCUGUGACGAAGCGUGAGUGACGGUAAUGGGUAAAGAAGCACCGGCUAACUACGUG